rnacentral:tRNA from 1 species
GGGCGAUUAUCCGCCCAGGCGGAUGGUUAGAGCGCGACACUGACCUGCCUGCCGGCAGGCAGGUAAUGUCGAAGUCGGAAGUUCAAGUCUUCCAUCGCCCACCA